rfam:Anopheles quadriannulatus strain QTAD4_A unplaced genomic scaffold supercont1.2573, whole genome shotgun sequence.
UGUGUUUGUUAGCUCUGCUAUGAGAUGGGAUCCGAAGCCCUCCGAAGGAUAAUACAAGCUCUCUCAUCCAACUCCUAUUCCGACAUGUCCUCGUCAAGCAGAGUGGUAACGCGUGCUACCACAAAUCCAAGCUUGGGUACAUGGGCUUGACCUAACCCCUUGGGCGGAUGGUGGAAUAUGGCGAACCAGGAGGGG